rnacentral:rRNA from 1 species
UACGUAGGGUGCAAGCGUUGUCCGGAAUUAUUGGGCGUAAAGAGCUCGUAGGCGGUUUGUCGCGUCUGCUGUGAAAACUCGGGGCUUAACCCCGGGCCUGCAGUGGGUACGGGCAGACUAGAGUGCGGUAGGGGAGACUGGAAUUCCUGGUGUAGCGGUGGAAUGCGCAGAUAUCAGGAGGAACACCGGUGGCGAAGGCGGGUCUCUGGGCAGUAACUGACGCUGAGGUGCGAAAGCGUGGGGAGCAAACAGG